rnacentral:tRNA from 1 species
GCCGCGGUGGUGAAAUUGGCAAACACGCUAGGUUCAGGGUCUAGUGCUCGAAAGAGCUUGGGAGUUCGAAUCUCCCCCGCGGCA